rnacentral:rRNA from 1 species
GCUGGCGACCGGCGCACGGGUGAGUAACACGUAUCCAACCUGCCGAUAACUCGGGGAUAGCCUUUCGAAAGAAAGAUUAAUACCCGAUGGCAUAAUUAGACCGCAUGGUUUGAUUAUUAAAGAAUUUCGGUUGUCGAUGGGGGUGCGUUCCAUUAGGCAGUUGGUGAGGUAACGGCUCACCAAACCUUCGAUGGAUAGGGGUUCUGAGAGGAAGGUCCCCCACAUUGGAACUGAGACACGGUCCAA